rnacentral:rRNA from 1 species
GCUAGCGGCAGGCCUAACACAUGCAAGUCGAGGGGUAACAGGGAGCUUGCUCCGCUGACGACCGGCGCACGGGUGCGCACCGCGUAUGGAACCUACCUUGUACAGGGGAAUAGCCCAGGGAAACUUGGAUUAAUGCCCCGUGGUACCAUGACCCGGCAUCGGGAUAUGGUUAAAGCCUUCGGGCGGUACAAGAUGGCCAUGCGUCCCAUUAGUUUGUUGGUAAGGUAACGGCUUACCAAGACUACGAUGGGUAGGGGCCCUGAGAGGGGGAUCCCCCACACUGGUACUGAGACACGGACCAGACUCCUACGGGAGGCAGCAGUGAGGAAUAUUGGACAAUGGAGGAGACUCUGAUCCAGCCAUGCCGCGUGCAGGAAGAAUGCCCUAUGGGUAGUAAACUGCUUUUAUACGGGAAGAAAAAGAGCUACGUGUAGCUUACUGACGGUACCGUAAGAAUAAGGACCGGCUAACUCCGUGCCAGCAGCCGCGGUAAUACGGAGGGUCCGAGCGUUAUCCGGAAUUAUUGGGUUUAAAGGGUCCGUAGGCGGGCCGAUAAGUCANGGGUGAAAGUUUGCCGCUUCAACGGUAAACUUGCCUUUGAUACUUGUCGGUCUUGAGUUAUAUGAAAGUUGCCGGAAUAUGUAGUGUAGCGGUGAAAUGCAUAGAUAUUACAUAGAACACCGAUUGCGAAGGCAGGUGACUAACUAUAUACUGACGCUGAUGGACGAAAGCGUGGGGAGCGAACAGGAUUAGAUACCCUGGUAGUCCACGCCGUAAACGAUGGAUACUAGCUGUCCGGAACCUUGAGUUCUGGGCGGCCAAGCGAAAGUGAUAAGUAUCCCACCUGGGGAGUACGUUCGCAAGAAUGAAACUCAAAGGAAUUGACGGGGGCCCGCACAAGCGGUGGAGCAUGUGGUUUAAUUCGAUGAUACGCGAGGAACCUUACCAGGGCUUAAAUGCAUAUUGACAGGUCUAGAGAUAGAUUUUCCUUCGGGCAAUUUGCAAGGUGCUGCAUGGUUGUCGUCAGCUCGUGCCGUGAGGUGUCAGGUUAAGUCCUAUAACGAGCGCAACCCCUACCGUUAGUUGCCAGCAUGUCAUGAUGGGGACUCUAACGGGACUGCCGGUGCAAACCGUGAGGAAGGUGGGGAUGACGUCAAAUCAUCACGGCCCUUACGUCCUGGGCCACACACGUGCUACAAUGGCAGGUACAGAGAGCAGCCAUGUCGCAAGGCAGAGCGAAUCUAUAAAACCUGUCACAGUUCGGAUCGGGGUCUGCAACUCGACCCCGUGAAGCUGGAAUCGCUAGUAAUCGGAUAUCAGCCAUGAUCCGGUGAAUACGUUCCCGGGCCUUGUACACACCGCCCGUCAAGCCAUGGAAGCCGGGAGUGCCUGAAGUCCGUCACCGUAAGGAGCGGCCUAGGGCAAGGAUCGGUA